GGUCCCUUAGCUUAGUCGGUAGAGCGUGGUGCUAAUAACGCCAAGGUCAGCGGUUCGAGCCCGCUAGGGACCA